UAUUUUAACCUAUUGUCAGCUCUAAUACUUGUAAUUUCUGUUUUAAAGGUUUAACAAAGCAAAAUCUCUCCUCUAGAUCCUGCUGAAGAACUAUUUUCCCUCAACGUUUGAGCAGCAUGUCUCUAGAUUUAACAUGUUGCACUGUUGGACACAAAGAUGUUGUGAUGACAUGUCUUUUAAAGUACUGUGCACCAAUCAGGACAUAGCAUCAAUCAGCCUGCAGGAACCAAUCAGAGGGCAUUCCUGCACGCACACACACACACA